UACGUAGGGUGCAAGCGUUUAAUCGGAAUUACUGGGCGUAAAGCGUGCGCAGGCGGUUAUAUAAGACAGUUGUGAAAUCCCCGGGCUCAACCUGGGAACUGCAUCUGUGACUGUAUAGCUAGAGUACGGUAGAGGGGGAUGGAAUUCCGCGUGUAGCAGUGAAAUGCGUAGAUAUGCGGAGGAACACCGAUGGCGAAGGCAAUCCCCUGGACCUGUACUGACGCUCAUGCACGAAAGCGUGGGGAGCAAACAGGAUUAGAUACCCC
rnacentral:rRNA from 1 species